rnacentral:rRNA from 1 species
GACGAACGCUGGCGGCGUGCUUAACACAUGCAAGUCGAACGGUGAAGCAGGAGCUUGCUCUUGUGGAUCAGUGGCGAACGGGUGAGUAACACGUGAGCAACCUGCCCCUGACUCUGGGAUAAGCGCUGGAAACGGCGUCUAAUACUGGAUAUGUGAUGUGACCGCAUGGUCUGCAUCUGGAAAGAAUUUCGGUUGGGGAUGGGCUCGCGGCCUAUCAGCUUGUUGGUGAGGUAAUGGCUCACCAAGGCGUCGACGGGUAGCCGGCCUGAGAGGGUCGCCGGCCACACUGGGACUGAGACACGGGCCAGACUCCUACGGGAGGCAGCAGUGGGGAAUAUUGCACAAUGGGCGGAAGCCUGAUGCAGCAACGCCGCGUGAGGGAUGACGGCCUUCGGGUUGUAAACCUCUUUUAGCAGGGAAGAAGCGAAAGUGACGGUACCUGCAGAAAAAGCACCGGCUAACUACGUGCCAGCCGCCGCCGUAA